rfam:Brachypodium distachyon strain Bd21 chromosome 2, whole genome shotgun sequence.
AUUCUACUCCCUCCGUCCCAUAGUAAGUGCCGAAAUAUUACAUGUAUCUAGAUGUAUUUUAGUAUAUAGAUACGUCCAUCUUUAGACAAAUUUGAGUCACUCAAUAUGGGACGGAGGGAGUAGAAG